CUUGAUUUUCCAAUCCAGUCUUGCACCGGCUUUUAUUCUGCGACGUUUUAUCGUUUUAUGUUUGUAUUGAACUGCACACUUUAGCCCUCAACUCUUUUAUGUUUGUUUUGAGUGUUUCCCGUGUGACGUGCACUUCGGACCUGGACGCACAAGAUAUUGAUGCCGCAUAAACCAAAAUCCAGACCAUUCUUGGUGCUCCCUUUACUAGAAUCAGAUCUGUUGGAACGGGCCUCCCCAAACCUCCUGGACAUGCCUACCAAAAACCCAGGCCUGCACCUUUUUACAAAAACUUUUCCAUCUCACAAGAAACGAAAAGACUCAGAUGAGAAUAAAAGACCUCUUACAGCAACUUUAGAAAAACCGACCAUUUUAGACAUACGACUCAUAGGAAAAAUCGACAUGAGUAAAAUAAGGAAGGAAUUCUUGAAUAUUUCAAACCUAUGUCGUUUACCAAUCCUUUUAAAAAAGUCUAAGAAUUCAAAACCACACAGGCCUUUAAGUCUUCCACCACCAGCUAUAGAAAAGAAGAAGAAAGCAAAGGAUGCUGAUGACUUAAGUAUCUUAAGUAUGGGGGAGGAAGAAGAGAGUACGCAAAGUGUCAGAGUGACAGGAAGGCAUGCGUCAAAAUUAAAAAGUAUUAAUGGAAAACGGACUGUGAAGACCUGUGAUGAUAAUAAUAAUAAUAGUAGUAGGACUAUAAGGAUACCUCGUAGAAGUCCAGCAGCACUCCCUAGCGACAAUAAGCCGAUAGGAAGUGCUGCUAGCGAUACGAAAUCGACCAAACUACCGCAACCUUGUAACUCCUGUGGAAGGUCCGACCAACCUGAGCGAUUACACAGUCAUCCCGUUACUCCAAUUGCAGCCAAUUCUCCAAAACUACUAGUUAAAGCAACGGUACAAAAACCGGUACCCUUAAAAUAUAAAUCAUCAAAAUCGAAGAAAGAAAAAUCGAAGAAAACUCCAUCACCUACUCGAAAACCAUCACUUCCUUCUCAAAACAUUGUUCAUUCCAAUCCAUCUUCAGCGAAUAUGCUUGCGGCCAAACGACUCGAAAUAAUGAAGAAGAUGCAGGAAGGCAACGACAGCAGAGCUAGUAGUUCAGGGAAACGAACCCUCACUUGCUAUAUUUGUGGGAGGGAAUAUGGAACUUCUUCGUUAAAGUUGCAUGAACCUAAAUGUUUAGAGAAAUGGGAGAGAGAGAAUUCAAGUUUGCCCCAACAUUUGCGAAGAAAAUUGCCUGUUCGACCAUCUGGGGCAGUAUCGUCAGAAGAAUGGAAUGAACUAGCCUGGGAAGCAUCUCAAGCUAACCUGGUACCGUGUCCAAACUGCGGAAGAACAUUUUAUCCCGACAGACUAGUUGUCCAUCAAAGAAGUUGCAAACAGUUACCUCAGUCAGAAUUUAGAAAUUCCAACCAAUCCCUCACGAAUGUCGUAUUACCACCAAACACAGUCAUUCCUUCUAAUCGACCAAGCAGUGGUCAAGGUCCACCUACUGCUGAAUGUUCUAUUUGCGGAAAAAAAUUCGGAAUUCACUCUUUGAAAGUCCACGAGAAAAAAUGCUACAAGCAAUGGACAGAAGCAAAUAAUUCGUCAGAGAAGAGUCCGCCUCCAUCAAAAAUCAAGACUUCUCCUCCAGAGAAAAGAAUAGUUAACGCUAAAUUCCAACCUUUGCAGAAAAUACUAGCAAUAGCACUAUUCCAUCAACCGCACUUGUUAGUCCUGUUUCAUCCAGAACAUCACCAUUAUUUCCCUGCUACAUUUGUAAUGAACUGUUUGAUGUUAACUCGAUUUACAAACACGAACCCCAAUGUUUAAAAAAGUGGAAAGCAGAAAACGAUAAACUGCCUAAACACAAAAGAAAGCAACAGCCUCUAAAACCCGAUAUCAAGUUUACACUUGACAGCAAGGGAGAUGCAAGAAAUGUGAAGAACACACGGGAAGCUGCAUGGCAAAAUCAUCUCAGUCAACUAGUGCCUUGCAAAAACUGUGGUAGGACUUUUAAUCCUGACAGAGUGGCAAUUCACGAAAAAAGCUGUAAAGGAUCUUAAUUGUACAUACAGGGUGUGUUGUGUGAGAGUUAAAUAAAUAUGGUUUUCAAUU
rnacentral:misc_RNA from 1 species